GCGAGGGUGGCGGUCCUGAGGCGGCGGGCUGCCGCGCUGGGGGCCGGCGGCGGCUGCGUGGGGAUGGGCUGCCCUUGGGCGUGGGCGCUGGCCGCGGGGUCCCCACGCUGACCCCCGAGGCGCCGGUAGCGGCCCCGCGCGCGGCCUUCCCAUCCAGGCCGCCCGUCUCGGGGCUCGUCCUUGGUCCGCGUGGCUUGGCGCGUCCGCGUUGACCGCUGUCUUCACUUUCGGGCUGCGCUGACCGCGAACGCUACGCCGGCCGUGGUGGCGGCGAGGCGCCUUUCUCGUACCUUGACGGUUGUUCACGCCUUUGCUUUAAAAUAUAGCCCUAGACGGACACGUGGUUGGCCCGGAAGGAGCCCCAGCAGCCACCUCGGACCGUGAGGUGACCUUGGAAGGCGGGAGGACGGACGAGGGGGAGCCUGGGGCCUGGCGGAGCCGCGAGCGCGUGGCGGUGUGUCCGGCGGCGCGGCGGCGGCUGGGGCGGGCCUGAGCGGCGCGGCCGUGAGUGAGGCUGGACUGUCGCCGCUCGGCGAGCCCCAGCAGUUCUGGCUCCGGAGGUCCACACCAGGCCGGCCGGAGCUUGGCGGGACCUCCGCUGCCUUCUGUCCCCGUCCGCGAGCUUCCUUCCCCUUGGUUUCGCGGGGGUGAUACCACGUAAACAUUGUCGUGCCCGCACUCAGCGCAGCAUCUGCUUCUGCAGAAACCGUUCUGCAGCCGUGACAGCUGUGAGACGAUGGGAUUGGAGGCGGCGUGACUCACCAGCGUGAAGCAGGGGGCGAACUAGUGAAGCGGAAUACCCGCGUGGGCCAUAUGAAACGAUCACAGAUCUUGCAGAGGAACCAUCUACAAGGGAACUUAGGCAUGCACACUCACACUUAACCUCUAGAAUUCUGACCACCAAGGAAGUACUUUUUCACUCUUUUGUGACGUUUCCUACCUUAGUCUGUGCACAGUUUGAAGCCUUUUUCCCUGCGUUGCUGAGAGACCUGGUUGAUUUAUUCCUCGCACCAGUGAAGUUUCCAUCUGUACACUUUAAGAAAAUAAACACAACAACAGGAAGCUUCUCUAUGGGUCCAUCCUGGAGGCAGGAAGGAUGGGUCUGCUGACAGGCACACGGCAGCACAGCCAGCGUCGUGUUACCUCACGAAGGUCACGUGCCUGAAACACACGAAGGGUUCCACGGAAAACACUCCAACUGGCUGUGCAGCCAUGCAUCAAGGGGCAGGCCAUCUCUAGGAAGUGCGAGGGGUCUCAGUUAAGACCUGCGUGGGGGUCCUGUCGGUUCUGAGAGCUGGCUGAGGAGGAAGGAGGGGAAGGAACCCUGGAGACCACCAGGUGUGACUCAGAGGGGCAAACUUUCCUGAUGACCAGAAUGCUGAAGAAUCAAAGCAUGUUAAUUCCAAGAAGCAACUAUUAAAAUGUGGAAGUCGAAACUGAUUAUAGCUGCCAGGCACAGUGCUCAGGCUACAGUCCCAAGUACUCAGGAGGAUGA